AAUGAACGCUGGCGGCGCGCCUAAUACAUGCAAGUCGAGCGAGAAGACGUAGCAAUACGUUUGUAAAGCGGCGAACGGGUGAGGAAUACAUGGGUAACCUACCCUCGAGUGGGGAAUAACUAGCCGAAAGGUUAGCUAAUACCGCGUACGCUCCUUGGACUUCGGUUCAGGGAGGAAAGCGAUACCGCGGGUAUCGCGCUCUUGGUCGGGCUCAUGUCCUAUCAGCUUGUUGGUGAGGUAACGGCUCACCAAGGCUUCGACGGGUAGCUGGUCUGAGAGGACGAUCAGCCACACUGGCACUGCGACACGGGCCAGACUCCUACGGGAGGCAGCAGUAAGGAAUAUUGCGCAAUGGGCGAAAGCCUGACGCAGCGACGCCGCGGUGGGGGA
rnacentral:rRNA from 1 species